GCAGGCAAUAAACUGAAAAACACAGAUUCGAGAGGCAACCAGGAAGAAACACAGCACAAAGAGGAAGAGUGAACCACAAUGAUACUCAGUAGAGCGCCUACCUACACCGAGGCCACAAGUCGUCUUUAUCUGCAUCAAACUGUACUGUAGAUACCAUCAAGGUGAGAAAGUUUGCAUUCUCACAGAGCAAAGUUUCUGCACAAAGGAUCGAGAAAGAACUCACAGCCUGGAGUUAAUGAUCUUCACUGGCUGUUAAAGAGAUGUGAAGCCUGCUGGAUCGUGUCUGUGCAGAUCUUUAACUCACAAAGGUUUGAACACGGACCGGCUUCUUUAUGUGAUAUUAAGAGAUAUUCUUGGUCAUAGAGAUAUAUUGGUUAUUUUCCAGUAACACUCUUUUAUCUCUAUUGUAUUUUUCCA
rnacentral:lncRNA from 1 species